rnacentral:rRNA from 1 species
UACGUAGGGGGCAAGCGUUGUCCGGAUUUAUUGGGCGUAAAGAGCGUGUAGGCGGUUUGGUAGGUCUCGCGUCAAAACCUGAGGCUCAACCUCAGUUCGCGUGGGAAACCACCUAGCUAGAGUCCGGAAGAGGAGAACGGAAUUCCCAGUGUAGCGGUGAAAUGCGCAGAUAUUGGGAAGAACACCAGUGGCGAAGGCGGUUCUCUGGGACGGUACUGACGCUGAGACGCGAAAGCGUGGGGAGCGAACAGG